UAGGGAAUCUUCCGCAAUGGACGCAAGUCUGACGGAGCAACGCCGCGUGAGUGAUGAAUGUCUUCGGAUUGUAAAACUCUGUUGUUAGGGAAGAACAAGUACCGUUCGAAUAGGCCGGUACCUUGACGGUACCUAACCAGAAAGCCCCGGCUAACUACGUG
rnacentral:rRNA from 1 species